CAAGGAGCAAGAGAAAUUCAAAAAAUAGAUCUAACUUGACAAUCCUCCAUCACAGUGGCAGCAAACCAUUUAGAAAAGUAAUUUAUGACAAUGGCGGAAAGGAUAACAACCCUCCAAGUUUGGAUGCCUUAUUUUUCAUGACUCACACAAAGGGUGGUAGUUUUCUAGAUUCUGAAUCCUCCAGCAAGCAUGCACAACUUGAGGAACAAAUAUCAUUAGAUCCUUCUCUUUCUAAUGCAGAACUUAUGGAUAAGUGCUUCCCUUCAAAGAGACAAGAUCACAUUGUUGGAUAUGGUGGUGGCGUGAAAGCAAGACAUCUUAGAAGUCCAUGCAUUAGUAAGGCUGAAUUGAUAGAAAGGUUGAAACAGUCCGAGGAUGAGAAAAGAGCAAUGCAAGAAGAAAAUAGAGAGCUACGAGAAGAAAAUAAAGCUACAAACAGUCGUAUGAGUCGUAUGGAACAGGAGUGGGAAGAACUAAAGAA